UACGGAGGGGGCUAGCGUUGUUCGGAAUUACUGGGCGUAAAGCGCACGUAGGCGGCUUUGUAAGUUAGAGGUGAAAGCCCGGGGCUCAACUCCGGAAUUGCCUUUAAGACUGCAUCGCUAGAAUUGUGGAGAGGUAAGUGGAAUUCCGGAGUGUAGAGGUGAAAUUCGUAGAUAUUCGGAAGAACACCAGUGGCGAAGGCGACUUACUGGACACAUAUUGACGCUGAGGUGCGAAAGCGUGGGGAGCAAACA
rnacentral:rRNA from 1 species